rnacentral:rRNA from 1 species
GUCUAUGGCCAUACCACCCUGAACGCACCCGAUCUCGUCUGAUCUCUGAAGCUAAGCAGGGUCGGGCCUGGUUAGUACUUGGAUGGGAGAGCAGAAGUGAGUUGGGGGAAAUCGGAGGGG